ensembl:misc_RNA Metazoa_SRP Metazoan signal recognition particle RNA
UCCGGGUGCGGUGGCUCACGCCUGUAAUCCCAACACUUUGGGAGGCUCAGGCAGGUGGAUCACCUGAGGUCAGGAGUUUGAGACCAGCCUGACCGACAUGGUGAAACCCUGUCUCUAUUAAAAAUACAAAAAAAUUAGCUGGGGCUGGGGGGCGGUGUAAUCCCAGUACUUUGGGAGGCUGAGAUGGGUGGAUCAUUUGAAGUCAGGAGUUCAAGACCAGCCUGGCCAAAAUGGUGAAACCCUGUCUCU